AUGGAGAUUGUGCUGAGCUAGAUUUUACUUGUUGCUAUUUUGAAAGGUGUCCAGUGUGAGGUGCAGCUGGUGGAGUCUGGCGGAGGCUUGGUUCAGCCUGGGGGGACCCUGAGACUCUCCUGUGCAGCCUCUGGAUUCACCUUCAGUAGCUAUGCCAUGAGCAAGGUCCGCCAGGCUCCGGGGAUGGGACUGGAGUGUGUCUCAGCUAUUGGUAAUGAUGGUAGCACAUACUACGCAGACUGUGAGGGGCCGAAUCACCAUCUCCAGAGACAACGCCAAGAACACGCUGUUUCUGCAAAUGAACAGCCUAAGAGCCAAGGACACGGCCGUGUAUUACUGUGCAAUAUACAUAGUGAGGGGAGGCCCGUGUGAGCCCAGGCACAAACCUCCUGCAGGAAAACUCGGGGGAAUCGGCUGCAGGGGGCACACUCAGGACCCACUGAUCAGAGUCAACCCCAGAGGCAGGUGCAGAUGGAGGCUGAUUUCCUGUUAGGAUGUGGGUCUUCA